rnacentral:rRNA from 1 species
UACGUAGGGUGCGAGCGUUGUCCGGAAUUAUUGGGCGUAAAGAGCUCGUAGGCGGCUUGUCGCGUCGGUUGUGAAAGCCCGGGGCUUAACUCCGGGUCUGCAGUCGAUACGGGAAGGCUAGAGUGUGGUAGGGGAGAUCGGAAUUCCUGGUGUAGCGGUGAAAUGCGCAGAUAUCAGGAGGAACACCGGUGGCGAAGGCGGGUCUCUGGGCCGAUACUGACGCUGAGGAGCGAAAGCGUGGGGAGCGAACAGG